rnacentral:snRNA from 1 species
AAAGUUUGAAAAAAUACUUUAAACAAGUAUUUAAAGUAUUUUUUCCAGGGCGAGGCUAUCCACUGCACUCCGGAUGUGUUGAUCCCUGCGAUUUCCCCAAAUGUGGGAAACUCCACUGCAUAAUUUGUGGUAGUGGGGGACUG